GAUUACAGUGUCAAAAGGUAUUCUCCACGUCAUGCUUGCAUGUAAGUGGAGGUAUACCUUAUUGACACGCCCCACAUGAGCAAGAAGUGGGGCGGGGGCCCCAUGGAUUGCGAAUGGGGGCAGGAUUGUGGGAGUGCGUAGCACGAAACAAUCUGU
rnacentral:sRNA from 1 species